rnacentral:rRNA from 1 species
AACGAACGCUGGCGGCGCGCCUAAUACAUGCAAGUCGAGCGAGAAGACGUAGCAAUACGUUUGUAAAGCGGCGAACGGGUGAGGAAUACAUGGGUAACCUACCCUCGAGUGGGGAAUAACUAGCCGAAAGGUUAGCUAAUACCGCAUACGAUUCCAGGACUUCGGUCCUGGAAGGAAAGCACUACCGUGGGUAGUGCGCUCCUGGAUGGGCUCAUGUCCUAUCAGCUUGUUGGUGAGGAAAGGCUCACCAAGGCUUCGACGGGUAGCUGGUCUGAGAGGACGAUCAGCCACACUGGCACUGCGACACGGGCCAGACUCCUACGGGAGGCAGCAGUAAGGAAUAUUGCGCAAUGGGCGAAAGCCUGACGCAGCGACGCCGCGGUGGGGGAGUGAAGGUCUUCGGAUUUCGUUAAACCCCGUUUUCGGGGAAGGGAAGGAGGGAAGUGGGGCAACCCAUUCGGACGGUACCUCCAGAAGCAGCCACGGCUAACUUCGUGCCAGCAGCC